GACGAACGCUGGCGGCGUGCUUAACACAUGCCAGUCGAACGGAAAGGCCCUGCUUUUGUGGGGUGCUCGAGUGGCGAACGGGUGAGUAACACGUGAGUAACCUGCCCUUGACUUUGGGAUAACUUCAGGAAACUGGGGCUAAUACCGGAUAGGAGCUCCUGCUGCAUGGUGGGGGUUGGAAAGUUUCGGCGGUUGGGGAUGGACUCGCGGCUUAUCAGCUUGUUGGUGGGGUAGUGGCUUACCAAGGCUUUGACGGGUAGCCGGCCUGAGAGGGUGACCGGCCCACUUGGAAGUAGAGAACGGCCCGAGACCCCAGGGGGGGAGAAAGGGGGGAAAUUUGAAAAAGGGGGGGAAGACGAGGGGGAGAAGCGCGGGGGGGGGGAGAGGGCCUUGGGGGUGAAAACCAGUUUGCCCGUGGAGAAGAGGGAGGGGAGGGAAAGUGGAAAGAAAAACACGGACAACCAAGG
rnacentral:rRNA from 1 species